CCUGAAAAGAAAAUGACGUUGGCCGGGCGCGGUGGCUCACGCCUGCAGUCCCAGCACUUUGGGAGGCCGAGACGGGCGGAUCACGAGGUGGUGAAAUUGAAGCCCACGCAGCAGGGUUGCAACUGAAACUUCAUCUCUGCAAAACCUUCCUGCAUUCCCAGGCAACUUUUCUUCUGAGGCCUUGUUUGAUUCAUCCCCUUACCCCAGUGGAACUCAGAUAUUCAAAAUGGUAUUAAUUAAAACCACUGGCUGUCAUUGGUCCAUG